UACGGAGGGUGCAAGCGUUGUUCGGAAUCAUUGGGCGUAAAGGGCGCGUAGGCGGGUCGUUAAGUCCGACGUGAAAUCCCUCGGCUCAACUGAGGAAGUGCAUCGGAUACUGGCGGUCUUGAGUCCUGGAGAGGGGAGCGGAAUUCCCAGUGUAGAGGUGAAAUUCGUAGAUAUUCGCAAGAACACCAGUGGCGAAGGCGGCUCACUGGCCCGGUACUGACGCUGAGGUGCGAAAGCGUGGGGAGCAAACAGG
rnacentral:rRNA from 1 species